UACGUAGGUGGCAAGCGUUAUCCGGAUUUACUGGGUGUAAAGGGAGCGUAGGCGGCGCGUUAAGUCUGAUGUGAAAACCCGAGGCUCAACCACGGGAGUGCAUUGGAAACUGGCGAGCUGGAGUGCCGGAGAGGUAAGCGGAAUUCCUAGUGUAGCGGUGAAAUGCGUAGAUAUUAGGAGGAACACCAGUGGCGAAGGCGGCUUACUGGACGGCAACUGACGCUGAGGCUCGAAAGCGUGGGGAGCAAACAGG
rnacentral:rRNA from 1 species